rnacentral:piRNA from 1 species
UAAUCUCCCAAUGGAAGGCCUUCUUGUG